rnacentral:lncRNA from 1 species
CUUCGCGGACUGCUGCCCUCGCACGUAACAACAGCGUCACUGUUUCUCCUCGCUGCCAUGGCUGCGAUCACAAACUCCAGCACGUUGCUUCUUCUCCGUCGAGUUGAUGCUGCCAUGGUCGCGUCACUGUUGGUCCCUGGUUCUUCUUCUCCUUCGUGGGCUGCUGCUGCUUCAGUUCACGUCAUCGCCAAACACCCCUCCAUCGAGCUUCGUCCAUUGUUUAAGUUUCCGGGCAGAUUCGAGUGAUUUUGGUGCAAUAAUUAUUUUCGGACAGAUUUGUUUCCGUUCGAGUUCGUCGUCACUUCGAGCCGGUUAGUGGUUUGAAUUUUAUUUUGUCCGUAUUUUUGUUUUGAUAUUCCCGGAUCUAAAAUCGAUAAAUGUUUGAUUCUUGUUUUGUUCAUGUGUUUUAUUGGUUUAAUUUUUAAUUGAAAUUUAAUUAAUUACUUUUCAGUUUGUUUCAUAUGUUUUUUUUUGUAAAUAAAAAUUGUUAGUUUAAUUUUAAUGUUGUUAGAUUCAAAUUGAAAAUGUUAGUUUAAUUUUAAUAUAAAAGAAAUUGUUAGUUUAAUUUUAGUUUAAAUUUGUAAAAAAAAAAGGAAUUGUUAGUUUAAUUUUAAUAUUGUUGGAUUUAGUUUAAUCGCUCGAAUCAUCCGUCUUUUGUUGAUUAGUUUAGAUUAAAUUCGUGUUCAUCUUUUGGUUGAAGUUCGUUCUUAAUCUAGUGAUUUAAUGUGAAUUUAUAUUUUAAAUGCUUGAUUUAAUUUGAAUAUUCAUCUUGGUUGUAAUGUUGUUGGAUUUAGUUUAAAGAUUAAUUGGUUAUUGAAUUUAGAAAUUCAAAUCUACUUGUUGGUUGUGUUCAAUUUGUUAAUAUUGUUAAAUCUGCAAAUAUAUGUGUUGUUAAGAAUAUCGUUCAGUAAAAAUAAUUCCGAUUGUUGAUUUGUUGUUCAUAGUUUAAGUUUAAAUUCGUUAAUUGAACUGGAUUAAGGAUUGGUUAUAGCUGGUAAUUUAAUUUUAGGUUCUUAAAUAAUUUUGAAGUUGAACAGAUUUUUGAAUCGAGGCGUAAUAGUAGUUUUAGGGGGUAAAACGGGAAUUAACCAAUUACAGAUUAUUUAAUUAUGGUGGGGACCAGAUAUAAUGAUAAAAGCAAAAAGGAAAAGGUGGAUAAUGAUGUCUUCUUUUCAAAAAGAGGGAACAUGGUGACCCACUUUGACUACUUUUCAAAAGGAGGGAACAUGGGGGCCCAUGUUGACUACUUUUAUUAAAGUAAAAGUGUAGGUAAUAAUAAAAAGUUAAAGGGUGCACAUAGUGGAAGAAUAUUGGGUUAAUAAAGUAAAAAAAAAGGGAAAGAGGUAAAAGGGGUCUUGUUUUUGUAUAAAAGGAUGACUCAUUUGACACUUAAAAAAGGGAGAAUUUUGGGAGAGAAAAAUUUCAGAACUAAAGAGGAGAUAAGAACAUACUUUUAAUCUUGAGGAAGAGGAUUCCUAAAAGAUCCGAAUACUAUUUCCGUGUAUUCCUGAGGGUGAUCUCUGCCUCCGGUUUGCUUCCGGGAUUUUCAAUUGGCUUCUUGAGUUAACUGUUGGUCCUUUGUUAUUGCUUUAUUGAGGGGUUGCUGGAAUUUCUGUUUGGUUUUCAAGUCUACUGCUGGGUUUUCUGACUGCUGGUUGUUUGUUGUUGAUGCGCUGUUUCUACUGCUGCUGAUCCUAUUCUUCCUUUCCAGGUACACGACUGUAAUACCUGAUCCUAUUCAAAUACCAGGUACACGACUGUAAUACUAGCUAUUGCAAGCUCAAAAAUGUGAAAGCAUGAAUACAUGAAGAAUGGAACUUUGAAGUUUUAAUUUUGCUUUUUCUUCGUUUCUUUUACUGAUUGUAUUUAGGCUAUUUCAUGUAUUACUGUUUAAUAAUUGGAAUAAGAGAAAAAUAACAUAAGUUGGUC